GCUCGCUAAGCUAUAACUGACGCUCAUGCACGAAAGCGUGGGGAUCAAACAGGAUUAGAUACCCUGGUAGUCCACGCCGUAAACGAUGAUUACUCGAUGUUGGCGAUACACAGUCAGCGUCUAAGGGAAACCAAUAAGUAAUCCACCUGGGGAGUACGAUCGCAAGAUUGAAACUCAAAGGAAUUGACGGGGGCCCGCACAAGCGGAGGAGCAUGUGGUUUAAUUCGAUGAUACGCGAGGAACCUUACCUGGGCUCGAACGUAAGAUGACUAUAGGUGAAAGCUUAUAUCUCUUCGGAGCAUUUUACGAGGUGCUGCAUGGUUGUCGUCAGCUCGUGCCGUGAGGUGUCGGGUUAAGUCCCAUAACGAGCGCAACCCCUAUCUUUAGUUGCCAUCAGGUCAUGCUGGGGACUCUAAAGAAACUGCCUACGCAAGUAGUGAGGAAGGCGGGGAUGACGUCAAAUCAGCACGGCCCUUACGUCCAGGGCUACACACGUGCUACAAUGGCCGAUACAGAGGGCAGCUACCAGGCGACUGGAUGCAAAUCUCCAAAGUCGGUCUCAGUUCGGAUCGGAGUCUGCAACCCGACUCCGUGAAGUUGGAUUCGCUAGUAAUCGCAUAUCAGCCAUGAUGCGGUGAAUACGUUCCCGGGCCUUGUACACACCGCCCGUCAAGCCAUGGAAGUUGGGGGGACCUAAAGUCGAUAACCGCAAGGAGUCGCCUAGGGUAAAACCAAUAACUGGGGCUAAGUCGUAACAAGGUAGCCGUA
rnacentral:rRNA from 1 species